GAUGAACGCUGGCGGCGUGCCUAAUACAUGCAAGUCGAGCGAAUGAUGAGGAGCUUGCUCCUCUGAUUUAGCGGCGGACGGGUGAGUAACACGUGGGUAAUCUGCCUGUAAGACGGGGAUAACUCCGGGAAACCGGGGCUAAUACCGGAUAAUAAGAGAAGAAGCAUUUCUUCUUUUUGAAAGUCGGCCUCUCGCUGACACUUACAGAUGAGCCCGCGGCGCAUUAGCUAGUUGGUGAGGUAACGGCUCACCAAGGCGACGAUGCGUAGCCGACCUGAGAGGGUGAUCGGCCACACUGGGACUGAGACACGGCCCAGACUCCUACGGGAGGCAGCAGUAGGGAAUCUUCGGCAAUGGGCGAAAGCCUGACCGAGCAACGCCGCGUGAGCGAUGAAGGCCUUCGGGUCGUAAAGCUCUGUUGUUAGAGAAGAACAAGUACGAGAGUAACUGCUCGUACCUUGACGGUACCUAACCAGAAAGCCACGGCUAACUACGUGCCAGCAGCCGCGGUAAUACGUAGGUGGCAAGCGUUAUCCGGAAUUAUUGGGCGUAAAGCGCGCGCAGGCGGUCUCUUAAGUCUGAUGUGAAAGCCCACGGCUCAACCGUGGAGGGUCAUUGGAAACUGGGAGACUUGAGUGCAGGAGAGAAAAGUGGAAUUCCACGUGUAGCGGUGAAAUGCGUAGAGAUGUGGAGGAACACCAGUGGCGAAGGCGGCUUUUUGGCCUGUAACUGACGCUGAGGCGCGAAAGCGUGGGGAGCAAACAGGAUUAGAUACCCUGGUAGUCCACGCCGUAAACGAUGAGUGCUAGGUGUUGGGGGGUUCCACCCUCAGUGCUGAAGUUAACACAUUAAGCACUCCGCCUGGGGAGUACGACCGCAAGGUUGAAACUCAAAGGAAUUGACGGGGGCCCGCAC
rnacentral:rRNA from 1 species